AAAUAUUAUGUACCUUCGUUCAUAUUUUAUCAUUAAAUGUAAUGGACUUACACACUUCUUAAUUUUGCUCUGCUCAACCAGUUCAUCAAUUGGAUUAAUUGGGGAACAUGUAUGUCUAAGUAAAAAGAAUGAAGAAUCCUGUUGUACAGACUACGAAGAAAGAAAUAAUAUGUGUGUUGAGUGCAGACCUGGAUUCAGAGGGGAUAACUGCAGUUUGAGAUGUCCA